ensembl:lncRNA
CUCUCUGUUUCUGUGAUGUACUGUAUGGUCUGUAGUGAGUACUGCUGAUCCUCUCUUCUGUUUCUAGGUGAUGUACUGUAUGAGCUCCUCUCUCGUUUCUAGGUGAUGUACUGUAUGAGCCUCCUCUCUCUGUUUCUAGGUGAUGUACUGUAUGAGCUCCUCUCUCUCUGUUUCUAGGUGAUGUACUGUAUGAGCUCCUCUCUCUGUUUCUAGGUGAUGUACUGUAUGAGCUCUCUCUCUGUUUCUAGGGAUGUUUACUGUAUGAGCUCCUCUUCUUUUUCUUAGGCUGUGUACGUAUGAAGCUCUCUCUCUCUGUUUCUAGGUGAUGUACUGUAUGAGUCUCUCUCUGUUUCUAGGUGAUGUACUGUAUGAGCUCCUCUCUCUGUUUCUAGGUGAUGUACUGUAUGAGCUCCUCUCUCUGUUUCUAGGUGAUGUACUGUAUGAGCUCCUCUCUCUGAUUCUAGGUGAUGUACUGUAUGAGCUCUCCUCUCUGUUUCUAGGUGAUGUAUGUAUGAGCUCCUCUCUCUGUUUCUAGGUGAUGUACUGUAUGAGGCUCCUCUCUCUGUUUCUAGGUGAGUGUACUGUAUGAGCUCUCUCUCUCUGUUUCUAGGUGAUGUACUGUAUGAACUCCUCUCUCUUUUUCUAGUGGAUGUACUGUAUGAGCUCUCUCUCUCUGUUUCUAGGUGGUGAUGUACUGUAUGAGCUCCUCUCUUCGUUUCUAGGUGAUGUACUGUAUGAGCUCCCUCUCUCUGUUUCAGGUGAGUGUACGUGUAUGAGCUCCUCUCUCUGUUUCUAGGUAGUGUACUGUGAUG